GAGAGCCGUAUACAUUGAGAGGUGUACGUACGGUUCGGGGGCGAGUGUUGGAAAACCUAUCAUAGUAAUAUGACAAGGCGUCGGGCACUUAGCCUAC
rnacentral:ncRNA from 1 species